AACAUUGAAACACCGGUUCUUGUCCGAUCAUUGGUUAAGUAAUGUUGAGCCUGGUUAGUACCUAGAUGGGUGACAACUUGAGAACACCAGGUGCUGUAAG